UUGUUUCAAAAAUUAACAAAGACCAAAAAUGAACAAAAACUAUAAGAAGGAAACAUGAAUUUUACAGUUAUUACAAAUCUCAACCUGUCUGUGAUUAUACUGUCUUCAACUUUUCCUAAUGAAUAUAUUUUAGUGUGUCUGAACAAAGUUUCUAUGUUCCAAGACAAUGCACAUUUUCAACUGUCCUCAUGUAUAUAUAUGAAUAUAUGCAUUUAUACAUGAAUAUGUAUUCAUACAUAUAUGCAUUUAUGCAUAUAUAUGCACACACAUACACACACAAACACACACACACACACACACACAUAUAUAUAUAUACACAUACACAUACAUAUUUCAGGUAGCCACUGUUGUUAGUAUCCUACAGAACAACUGAUAUGUCCUCUUUGAUUUGGCUUGAAUCUUUAGUUUUGAAAUUGUUUUCAUGUACUCAUUUUCUUCAACAUCACUAGCAUUUUCAUAGACCAGUACUUGUACUUGUUAUCAAAAAUAUUUUAUAAGUGCAUAUAUUGGAUUAGCCUUGUAAUCUUAGCAGUGGAGAGACUGAGACAGAGAGAUUGCCAUGACUAUGAAGCUAAUCUCGGCUAUAGAAUGUGACCUGUGACUAAAAAACUUUCCGAAGAACCAAAAGCCCCAAACCAACCAACCAACCAACCAAUCAACAAAACAACCAACCAACCAACCAAAACCAAAAUAAAACAAAAAUAUAUGUCAAAAUAAACAAGAAAAACUAAAUAUAUGUAAGUAUGUGUGUUUACAUAUACAUAUUUUACACUUCAAACAAAUAGUAUGUGGGAUAGGUGUGGUAAUCAUUACAACUAAUGUGAAAAAUGAGAAAGUUCAAGCUCAGAAACUCACACAGCUUGCCUACAUGCUUGUGUAGGCAACAUGAAAUAAGAAAGCGGUCCAUCCUUUUAUAAAAUCCCUAGCACAGAUACCAAGAAAUAAAAACUAUUAUACAAACGCAUUUCUUCAAUUGCAGCAUAUUAUACUGCUCUUUCUCAUUUGUGUUAUGAAUUCUCAAUGAUAAGACUUUUUAAGGGAUUUUGAAAACUUAAUUCAUUUUUUUAAAGUGAAAUGUCUGACUUUCCCUUUAAUUUCUGGCUUUGCUUAUAAUUUUUCAGUUAUAUAAGAUUGCUUUGAAGAUUUCAGGAUAGAAAUAUCUAAAAUUUAUUUUGAACAAAAACUGAUCUCUUUUCAUAGAUGAUUAAUACAGCCACUGUAAUCAACAUUUAAAAUAGCCAAAAGCAUCAUCUUAGGAUAAUAAUUUUGCCAUCAUUACUAUCUUAAAAAUCAUAAUGAGUCUUUAUAAAAUAUUCACUUUUGCCAGUAUGGUAAAUAAAUGAUGAAACUUUCUGAAAUCAACUAAUAAUAAAUUUAUUGUAUCAGGUGUAAUAUCCUUGCAAAAGAAAAUAAAUAAGAGAUUUUAAUCGAACUCGGAGAGGGGAAAAAAGCUGUAAAAGGUCGUGGUUGCCAUGCUUGAGCAGGCUGCUUUUUGGGGUGUAUGGAGGAGGCUGCAGUCGCUUGAAACGUGUAAUCUGGAAGACUUCCUAAGCAUAUGGAGUGGUUAGAAAAAAAAAUGGCACAGAAAUGUGAGUGAGGAGAAGAGAAAAUUGGAUAAAUCAAGGGAAAAGCCUGGGGGAAGGGCAGCGCUUGGUGCAAGGAAGCGAGACCAGAUGUCGAGAUGGCCAUUGUGGGCUUGCUUUUGACAUCACAGGAUUAUUCUGAGCGUGCAUUUUAAAAGAAUAAGCUCCUGUAAUAGUUCAAUAAAGGCCAAAACUGGUGGGAUGGUUAAAGAAGGCUUUAAAUGAUAGAGCUUUCCAGUCUCAGCAUAUGGACUGAAGUAGAUUUUAGAAUUAAAUAUGUUUGAUAAUGGGCAUAAAGGGUUUUUUUCAUUUUAAGCGCUGCCUGGCAUCCUGUAGUGGGCAUUGCUGCUCUUCUGAGUCACAGGUCACGAUAUAAUGUUUCGAAACUUUUAAUUACUUAAUUUUCUCUCAAUUCUAAAAGAGAAUCAUUAAACUUGCACUGUGUUCCCCACAAUGUACAGAAAUUUGCUUAGUGUAUUUAAUGUUGCCUUAGUCAGGGUUUCUAUUCCUGCACAAACAUCAUGACCAAGAAGCAGUUAGGGAGGAAAGGGUUUAUUCAGCUUACACUUCCAUACUGCUGUUCAUCACCAAGGAAGUCAGGACUGGAACUCAAGCAGGUCAGGAAGCAGGAGCUGAUGCAGAGGCCAUGGAGGGAUGUUCCUUACUGGCUUGCUUCCCCUGGCUUGCUCAGCCUUCUCUCUUAUAGAACCAAGACUACCAGCCCAGAGAUGGCAUCACCCACAAGGGGCCUUUCCCCCUUGAUCACUAAUUGAGAAAAUGCCCAACAGCGCAUUUCCUCAACUGAAGCUCCUUUCUCUGUGAUAACUCCAGCUGUGGCAAGUUGACACAAAAUUAGCCAGUACAAAUGUGUUAUGUCUGGUAAAGGAGAAAAGCUUGCUAAGUUUUGAUUUUGAGUUAGUGAGAAAUGAACAGACAUGUACCUCGAUAAUGCCAUUGAACUUUCUUGUAUCCCAGAUCUCUUAUUAAAAACAUAUUAAGUUAAUUAAUCCAAAACAAUCAUUUUUACCUCAACAGAGUAUUUAUUUGUAGGGGCUCAUGCCAGAUAAGUAAAAGAGGGUGUUUUUGUUUUUGCCUUUGGUUUUUUUUGUUUUGUUUUGUUUUUGUUUCUGUUUUUGUUUUUGUUUUUCUUUUGUUUUUUGCAAUGGCAUCUUUUCUAUCAUUGUGAACCUGACCAUAAUUUUUUUGCGUAAAAAUUCAAGAUAGAAGAGAAACAUAUUUUACAUUUCCAAAGGGUAUUUUUAAUAUUCCUAGAAAUUUUCUCUUAACUUGUUUAUGUUUAUUCAUAAAGCAAAUCUACUCCAAAUUGUAAGAAGCACUCUCAUGUACACAUUGUGUACUGCUGCAGUAUAAGUAAAGUUUCUAAAAUAGAGUAUCUGAUAGUAGCAUACAAGGACACAGCCAGUCAAGCUUCUAACCACUUGCAAGUGGUUCAUUAGGGGACAUUUCAGUGCUGUCCUCAAAAGUUAUUUCUUUAAUUAUUUUCCUUGCUGUUUUUGUUCAUUACUACAAUUUGUUUUGUCUGUCUUUGAUGUAUGUAGCUGUUCUCAGAUGAACCAACAUGUAUAACACUGAGAUAACAUUCCAUAUGAAGCAAAUCUUGAUGUGCUUCAGAUAGUGUUCUCAAUUCCGGUUGUAUUCUAGAGAAUACCACUAGAAAAGACAAAAGGCAAAAGGAUAUUGGCUGGAUAGCAUAUUGCUUUGACUUAUAAACCCAGGUUUUCACUAGUUUUCUAGGUAUAUGUGCUAAAUUGUGUGUGUGUGUGUGUGUGUGUGUGUGUGUGUGUGUGUGUCUGUUAGAUAGACAACUGAUACAUAGAAGACUGAGCGUUUAAAGUGUUUGUUCACUUCAUACAGCUAGAAAACUCAGAUUACCAACACAGUAGAUAUUAUAUUGUUAUGUGAACUAAACCUGAAAUAUACAUUUUACUAGCAGUUCUAGUAUGAACAAGGUUAGAUUUUAAUAUGUAUCUGAGCAAAUAACAUAACAGAUAUCUUCUCCAAGGAAGUAUCUAAUAUGUUAUUUGUAGUUUCAUAAAAGUGUAGUUUAAUUUACUCAAAAUUAUUACUGUUCAAUGGUCCAUAACAAAACAAGAUCCUUUUGUUUAUUUAUUUAUCCAUCUAUGUUUUUAUUUAUGCAUUGUGUGUGCAUAUACCCAUGGGUUGGUGUGUGUGCAGUGUAUAGAGAUUCGAAAGGUUGAUGUCUGAUGCCUCCAUUCACCUUAGUUUCUGAGAAAGUAUUUCCCACUGGCAGUCGUUGAUUUGGGAAACAGAUUUGGGAAACAGAUUUGGCUAGAUUGACCCAUUUUUUUUCUGCCUUCCCUAUGCUGGUUUUACAAAUGUAUAUUACAACUGCCCAUUGCAUUCUGGAAAUUGAACUCAGGUUUCAUAUUUGUUAGGAAGCACUUUACUAACUGGGCCAUCUCCCCAGACUUAUUCUUUCAUUUAGAUUAUCAAAGUGAAUGCACUAGUUUAUUGCACUUUUCCAAAUAAAUUGAGUUUUGGAAUAUAUUUAAAAAUAAUAUUUAGGUUUUAUUUUAUGGUGUCCAAUUUCGUUACAUUUAUCCCUCAAAUAAAUUCACC
rnacentral:lncRNA from 1 species